GACGAACGCUGGCGGCGUGCUUAACACAUGCAAGUCGAACGGAAAGGCCCCCAUCUUGGUGGGGGUGCUCGAGUGGCGAACGGGUGAGUAACACGUGGGUGAUCUGCCCUGUACUUCGGGAUAAGCUUGGGAAACUGGGUCUAAUACCGGAUAGGACCAUGGUUUAGUGUCUCAUGGUGGAAAGAUUAUUGUUUUGGUGCAGGAUGAGCUCGCGGCCUAUCAGCUUGUUGGUGGGGUAAUGGCCUACCAAGGCGUCGACGGGUAGCCGGCCUGAGAGGGUGGACGGCCACAUUGGGACUGAGAUACGGCCCAGACUCCUACGGGAGGCAGCAGUGGGGAAUAUUGCACAAUGGGCGCAAGACUGAUGCAGCGACGCCGCGUGGGGGAUGACGGCCUUCGGGUGGUAAACUCCUUUCGUUAGGGACGAAGCCGCACUUUUUUUGGGUGUGGUGACGGUACCUUUGUUAAGAAGCACCGGCUAACUACGUG
rnacentral:rRNA from 1 species